GUGGCUGUGCAUCUUCCAAUUUUGGCAGAUUUUUCACAUACGCACACAAAAUCCAACUUCAUCAACAAUGGUUGGAUAAUCAGUAUGUCCCUUAAAAAAAAUCCUCUCUGAUUUUCUGCAUCCCUUCGGAACCCAAGACCAACUCUAACAAAGAAACCACCAUUAACCUUGUCCCAGAGUCCCCAACAGCAACUAUCCACGACCCAUUUAACAACACCGAGACAUCUGGUUUCUUCAACUUUCGAAACCGACCCAUUUGGGAUACCACGUGAGCUACAAGAAUGGAUUUGAGGACCACGGCGACUUCAAGAGAGAGAAUUGAUUUGGGGGAAAUUGAUUUCCGGAGCUUAGGGUUUGGUGAUUUCAUAGACAAACUCGUGUUUGGUUUUAUACGUCAAAGAUGUGUUCUAGAAUAUUUUUUGACAUGGCGAUGACGGGGAAUUGAUUUGGCAAUAAUGGGACUCAAUUUACCACAUGGAAUGAGUUAACCGGACACGUCAUCAUUCCAUCCUCGACGUCAGCAACAAUUCAAAUGGCAUCCAGUCGGGUGAGUGAUCGACACUGGCGGAGGAAAGUUUAGUGGCUAAUGGGACAACACACAAAGUUCAGUCAGCAAACCGUGACAUGGUAAAAAGUUCAGUGGCCAAUGAAACAUUUAACUCGAUGAGUCGUAUGUAUCAUUUCUCACAAACCCAGCCCUCUGUAGCUGCCGUCGCCCCUGCAGACCUGCUGGCUAGUGGCUGCUGCUUCAAGCCAUCGACCUGAGGAGUGAGGCGGGGACAGGACCUGCUGGGCCGCUGGCUGCUUCGCUGGUUGUCAUGGUUGGAAUUCGACGGCAAGAGAGGACGACGUCUUCCAGUUUCUCAAGUGGAUUACAAGUAAACUAACAAUUACAAAAGAAAAAAUGGUUUAGCUGAGGAAGAAGACACAGAGAAUUGGGGAGAAGAUUAAGCGUAGAAGAAGAGGAGAAGAAGAACCGAGAAGAAGAGUAAGCAAGAGAAGAAGCUUACCAUAGAGGGGAGAAUGCAGAACACAGAAGAAGAGGGAAGAACACAGAAGAAGAGGGGAGAAAACGAGCAGCAGCCACGAUCAAUUCAACGUUCAACCCCUCCAAAACAUAACCAUACAACCCUGUAUAGAGUAAAAUAACAACCGGGCUUGGGCCAGCCCACUAAUGCAAGCCAAAUUAGAUAAAAUCAAAGAUAAAUGGUCCAAUAAAUAGUUACCCAUGACAGGUGGCCUUUUGAAUAUUUCAGCUACUUAUGCAGCUAAUUUUGCUAUCAUAACUAGCUGCUAUUACGGUAAUUUCUUUGUGGUUAAUGUAAAUCUUUAUUUUUAUUUUUAUUUUUAUUUUUAUUUUUAUAGUUUUCACUUGUUCAACUGACAUAUUACUCGAGCUUAAUAGGGUAAGUAAAUACUAUAAGUUCUGUGAUGUAAAUUUUUUAAUCUUCUGUCCAUAUUUGUGUGAUGGCCUCUAAUUAUAAGUUAUGCCUUCAUAUGUA